AUUGCAAUGCAGAGAAUACGCAGACGAAAAUUGGAUGCCUCGAGUUCGCUGGCAGUAUCAAUCACUCUCAACGAUGCUGGUGUCACAAAUUUGCUGAGGAACGACGACAUCAUUGUAGAUAGUUUUUCGCAAAGAAAUAAUGUUCUUAAAGUUAACCAGAUUUAGGAGAAGGAAAAUGGAACAUCUGAUACGAGUUGCUGUAUUUGUUUUCGUGACAAUAAAUGUGAUUUUUAAACCAUCGGCGGGUCAGACGACAGCGCCCAUGUCGAAUUCGGACUUUCCGGAGCUGAGCCUGGUUAAAAAGUGGGCGGAUGGUUUAAGUGAGACAUUGAUAGACACGUUGGACAAAGUGACUGGGAGAAGAGAACUUAGACAGCUUUACACUGACAAGGCCUUGGAUGUAGAAUUUAUAAAUGGUUCAGAACUCAUAGAGGAUGUGGCUGAUAAAUGGCAGGCUAUACUCCAAAAGAAGAUGACUGCAGUGAGG